rnacentral:rRNA from 1 species
GAAUUUUGGACAAUGGGCGCAAGCCUGAUCCAGCAAUGCCGCGUGAGUGAAGAAGGCCUUCGGGUUGUAAAGCUCUUUUGUCAGGGAAGAAACGGUGCUUUCUAAUACAGAGCGCUAAUGACGGUACCUGAAGAAUAAGCACCGGCUAACUACGUGCCAGCAGCCGCGGUAAUACGUAGGGUGCAAGCGUUAAUCGGAAUUACUGGGCGUAAAGCGUGCGCAGGCGGUUUUGUAAGACUGUCGUGAAAUCCCCGGGCUCAACCUGGGAAUGGCGAUGGUGACUGCAAGGCUAGAGUUUGGCAGAGGGGGGUAGAAUUCCACGUGUAGCAGUGAAAUGCGUAGAUAUGUGGAGGAACACCGAUGGCGAAGGCAGCCCCCUGGGUCAAAACUGACGCUCAUGCACGAAAGCGUGGGGAGCAAACAGGAUUAGAUACCCUGGUAGUCCACGCCCUAAACGAUGUCUACUAGUUGUCGGGUUUUAAUUAACUUGGUAACGCAGCUAACGCGUGAAGUAGACCGCCUGGGGAGUACGGUCGCAAGAUUAAAACUCAAAGGAAUUGACGGGGACCCGCACAAGCGGUGGAUGAUGUGGAUUAAUUCGAUGCAACGCGAAAAACCUUACCUACCCUUGACAUGGCAGAAAUCCCGGAGAGAUUCGGGAGUGCUCGAAAGAGAAUCUGCACACAGGUGCUGCAUGGCUGUCGUCAGCUCGUGUCGUGAGAUGUUGGGUUAAGUCCCGCAACGAGCGCAACCCUUGUCAUUAGUUGCUACGAAAGAGCACUCUAAUGAGACUGCCGGUGACAAACCGGAGGAAGGUGGGGAUGACGUCAAGUCCUCAUGGCCCUUAUGGGUAGGGCUUCACACGUCAUACAAUGGUACAUACAGAGGGCCGCCAACCCGCGAGGGGGAGCUAAUCCCAGAAAGUGUAUCGUAGUCCGGAUUGUAGUCUGCAACUCGACUGCAUGAAGUUGGAAUCGCUAGUAAUCGCGGAUCAGCAUGUCGCGGUGAAUACGUUCCCGGGUCUUGUACACACCGCCCGUCACACCAUGGGAGCGGGUUUUACCAGAAGUAGGUAGCUUAACCGUAAGGAGGGCGCUUACCACGGUAGGAUUCGUGACUGGGGUGAAGUCGUAACAAGGUAGCCGUAUCGGAAGGUGCGGCUGGAUCACCUCCUUU